rnacentral:rRNA from 1 species
GUGGGGAAUCUUGCGCAAUGGGCGAAAGCCUGACGCAGCCAUGCCGCGUGAAUGAUGAAGGUCUUAGGAUUGUAAAAUUCUUUCACCGGGGACGAUAAUGACGGUACCCGGAGAAGAAGCUCCGGCUAACUUCGUGCCAGCAGCCGCGGUAAUACGAAGGGGGCUAGCGUUGCUCGGAAUUACUGGGCGUAAAGGGCGCGUAGGCGGACAGCUUAGUCAGAGGUGAAAGCCCAGGGCUCAACCUUGGAAUUGCCUUUGAUACUGGCUGUCUUGAGUUUGGGAGUGGUGAGUGGAACUCCGAGUGUAGAGGUGAAAUUCGUAGAUAUUCGGAAGAGCACCAGUGGCGAAGGCGACUCACUGGCCCAAUACUGACGCUGAGGCGCGAAAGCGUGGGGAGCAAACAGGAUUAGAAACCCUUGUAGUCC